rnacentral:rRNA from 1 species
GACGAACGCUGGCGGCGUGCUUAACACAUGCAAGUCGAACGGAAAGGCCCUGCUUUUGUGGGGUGCUCGAGUGGCGAACGGGUGAGUAACACGUGAGUAACCUGCCCUUGGCUUUGGGAUAACUUCAGGAAACUGGGGCUAAUACCGGAUAGGAGCUCCUGCUGCAUGGUGGGGGUUGGAAAGUUUCGGCGGUUGGGGGUGGACUCGCGGCUUAUCAGCUUGUUGGUGGGGUAGUGGCUUACCAAGGCUUUGACGGGUAGCCGGCCUGAGAGCGUGACCGGCCACAUUGGGCCUGAGAUACGGCGCAGACUCCUACGGGAGGCAGCAGUGGGGAAUAUUGCACAAUGGGGGGAAGCCUGAUGCAGCAACGCCGCGUGCGGGAUGACGGCCUUCGGGUUGUAAACCGCUUUCGCCUGUGACGAAGCGUGAGUGACGGUAAUGGGUAAAGAAGCACCGGCUAACUACGUG